UUAUUCUUCCGGGAGCCGCCAGUGGGAAAUCUUGGCCAAGGGGGGCAACCCUGAUCCAGCAAUGCCGCGUGUGGGAAGAAGCCCUUCGGUUUGUAAACCACUUUUGGCGGGAAAGAAAUGCCGGAUGUUAAUAUCAUCUGGGUGAUGAC
rnacentral:rRNA from 2 species